GCGGAUCCAGAAGGCAAUAUUCCAGAUAUGUCUCAUUUCUCUCCUCUUAAUCUAGAGGACAUCCAACUGUAUGAUCAUGUUGACUAACUAUUUAUUUCCCUUUAUCUACUACUUCGGAUGACUGUACUCCCUAAUCCCUCACCCUUCUCUCACUCCACUAACUAUCCUGGCUACUAGUACUACUUCUACUUCCUAUUCUUG
rnacentral:lncRNA from 1 species